rnacentral:rRNA from 1 species
UACGAAGGGGGCUAGCGUUGCUCGGAAUUACUGGGCGUAAAGGGAGCGUAGGCGGAUAGUUUAGUCAGAGGUGAAAGCCCAGGGCUCAACCUUGGAAUUGCCUUUGAUACUGGCUAUCUUGAGUACGGAAGAGGUAUGUGGAACUCCGAGUGUAGAGGUGAAAUUCGUAGAUAUUCGGAAGAACACCAGUGGCGAAGGCGACAUACUGGUCCGUUACUGACGCUGAGGCUCGAAAGCGUGGGAGCAAACAGG